UACGUAGGGUCCGAGCGUUGUCCGGAAUUAUUGGGCGUAAAGGGCUCGUAGGCGGUCCGUCACGUCGGGAGUGAAAACUCGGAGCUCAACUCCGAGCCUGCUUCCGAUACGGGCAGACUAGAGGUAGGCAGGGGAGAGCGGAACUCCUGGUGUAGCGGUGGAAUGCGCAGAUAUCAGGAAGAACACCGUGGCGAAGGCGGCUCAUG
rnacentral:rRNA from 1 species